UCCAAAACUAGCCUCGAUCCCAGGCCGAGUUUUCGCUUUUAUAACGGUUAGGCGAACAACUGGGCCUGGUACUAGUUGUCUGCGCAUGCGUCAGUCGUUCGUCAGAUUCUGACGAAUGGAUAUUCUCGUUCACUUUCGUGACAUUUAUAUUCGUGUACUAGAAGUCAGUUCCCGUUUUAUCAUUAUUGGAAUCGAUUGGAAUGGCUCUUAGCUGAAGCUUCUCUCUUCUCUGAAGCUUAUUCUGAAGACUGAACAACAAGGGAAGAGGUAUAAAGCUUUGUCAAGCUUGUUAAGGUCAGAUAUUUUUGUGUGGGCCCUAUGGCCGGCUAUGCUAUCAAGUCUUGUUCAUGUUUGGCAAGAAUGUAGGUAGACUAUAGUUUCAUCAUUAAUAUGGUGGAUCAAGUGAAGAGUGUGAGCUAGAGAACUUGGUGCUGCCAUCAUCAGCUCGUCGACAAUGACACUAUAACCGAGAAAUUUAAUAUGUAUAGAUCUACACGUAUUUAAAAUGUCUACUUCUCUGUACAGGAGCAAUGGCUAAUAUCCAACUAUCCCAACAGUGCUCCUCUUGGCUAUACUAACGGACGAGACUGGACAGUUUGAGACACAGGACUGGAGUAUGACCUGCUCAUUUGAGCGUUGCUGGGUAGCUCAGAGACAUCAAGAGAAUCUACGUUUUCUCAAGCAAUGAGUUACGAGUUGGGGCCUAGAAUCAGAGAAGUCCAGCAGCCUGCUAAAUCUUUUUGAAACGUAAUUUGAAGGCAUUCAAUCAUCCUGAAGUUGCCCUGGGUCACUGUAAUUGUGCUGCAGCACAACUGGCAACUCCCCAGGCCUUUGUGAAGCAGCUCCCUAUGUGCAUCUUUUGUGUACUCACUCUGUGCAUUUUCUGUGUACAAAUUUCUAUUAUUGAUUUAUUAAAUAUUUUUGCCGACCACAAA